GUGCCCACUUCGGCAGCAUAUACACUAAAAUUGGAGUCACACAGAGAAGAUUAGCACAGCCCAAAUGCAAGAAUCACAUGUGAAUUUGUGAAGCAUUCCAUGUUUUU
rnacentral:snRNA from 2 species